AGACGGCUAGCGGGUGUGAGAGCAUGACCCGCCGCAUCGGGACUGAGACACUGCCCGGACUCCUACGGGAGGCUGCAGUAACGAAUCUUCCGCAAUGCGCGAAAGCGUGACGGAGCAAUGCCGCGUGAAGGAUGAAGCCCCUCGGGGUGUAAACUUCUGUCAGGGUUUAGGAAUUCUGACCAAACCCAAAGGAAGGACCGGCUAACUUCGUGCCAGCAGCCGCGGUAAGACGAAGGGUCCAAGCGUUAAUCCGGAAUCACUGGGCUUAAAGCGUGCGCAGGCGGGCCUGUAAGUACCUUGUGAAAUACCACCGCUCAACGGUGGAAUGGCAGGGUAUACUGCAGGCCUUGAGGCCGGUAGAGGUUGGCGGAACUGUAAGUGUAGCGGUGAAAUGCGUAAAUAUCUACAGGAACACCAGAGACGAAGGUAGGCAAACUGGGCCGGUCCUGACGCUCAGGCACGAAAGCGUGUGGAGCAAACAGGGAUUAGAUACCCUGGUAGUCCACGCCGUAAACGAUGUGCACUAGAUUCGAGAGGCUCUGACGCCAUUCGGUUCGAAGCAAAAGUGUUAAGUGCACCGCCUGGGGAGUACGGUCGCAAGGCUAAUACUCAAAGGAAGUGACGGGGGCUCACACAAGCGGUGGAGCAUGUGGCUUAAUUCGAAGCAACGCGAAGAACCUUAUCCUGGGUUUGACAUGCACGGAUACCCUCGCCGAAAGGCGAGUAAGUUGCCCAUUCGGGUGAAACGUGCACAGGUGCUGCAUGGCUGUCGUCAGCUCGUGCUGUGAAGUGUUGGGUUAAGUCCCUUAACGAGCGAAACCCCUGUCGCUAGUUGCUAACAGGUCUCCGGACGCUGAGGACUCUAGCGAGACUGCCGGUGUCAAACCGGAGGAAGGCGGGGAUGACGUCAAGUCCUCAUGGCCUUUAUGCCCAGGGCUGCACACGUGCUACAAUGGCGUGAACAGAGCGACGCAAUACCGUAAGGUGGAGCAAAUCGCAAAAAUCACGCCCCAGUUCGGAUCGAGGUCUGCAACUCGACCUCGUGAAGGUGGAAUCGCUAGUAAUCGCGCAUCAGCAAUGGCGCGGU
rnacentral:rRNA from 1 species